rnacentral:rRNA from 1 species
UACGUAGGUGGCAAGCGAUACUCGGAAUCACUAGGCGUAAAGCGCAGGUAGGCGGUUUGGUAAGUCUUUUGUGAAAGCUCCCGGCUUAACUGGGAGAGGUCAAGGGAAACUACCAGACUAGAGUGUGGUAGGGGAUACUGGAAUUCCUGGUGUAGCGGUGAAAUGCGUAGAUAUCGCUUGGAACGCCGAAGGUGAAAACAGGUCGCUGGGGAUGUGCCGACGCUGAGACACGAAAGCCAGGGGAGCAAACGGG